rnacentral:lncRNA from 1 species
CAACAGACGAAGCCAACGAAGAUGAAUUUGAAGAAAAUGAUGAAGUGGAUGAUGUUUCUGAUGACGAGUGAUCGAGUUUGAUUAUGUUACAAUGUUUGUGUUUUAUUAUAUUAUUAAACUCUUUGUAUUGCAUUACAAAUAAUAUAUAACUUAUUAUCAUGUUUGCUCAACUAUAUAUGAACUUAGUUUAAAAAACAAUCUUUGUACUUUGGGGUUUAGAAGUGUAUAAAACUUAUGAUGUUUGGAGUUUGGGAUUUGGGGUUUCAGUUUUAGGGUAUAAACACAAAACGAAGCUAAUUAGUCGUAAAGUAUGACUCAGUUACGACUAAUCUUAAUUCUUCCCACAUUGGUCCCUAAUUGGUCGUAAAGGACUUCAUCCCACAUUGGUCGAAAUUUUAAUUCUUCUUUACGACUAUUAAUCCUUAUAUGGGCGUAAAUAAAAAAAUUAUUUAGUCCCUAAUUGGUCGUAAUAUUAUUUGGUCCCCCAU